UUUCUACAUAAUAAGCCAUUAUUACAAAAUGAGGUCUUACAAGCAUGACUCUCUGGUACAACCACACCCUAUUUUAGGUUAUGUAACACCGGAUAAGUUAUGGUUAUUUUUGAGUUUCCAAUCAUAGUUUGGUCUUAGAGGCCAUAUUGACCAAGAAUGACUCCUAAAAUGAAUCAGUGGUAAGUGCAUCCAGUGAUAACUUUAGGGCUGCACCAAACAAUUAUUUUGAUAGUCGAUUAAUCUGUUAUUUUUUCGAUUAAUCGAUUGGUUGAUUAGUAGUCAAGAAUACUACACCCUCCAUCCCCCCACAAGAAGCAUCCUGUGGGCACACUUACUGUUCCAGCUCCAGUAAACAUCUCAUCUCACCUGCUCACACCUGAGAAUGUCACUGUUAUCCAGUCUCUUCCUUAACAAGUUCCCAUAGCAAAUUAUAAUAAUGACCUAUUAAACCUACCUUAAUAGCUUAAUCACAUGUACAGUAUUUCUAACAUUAAUUUGUGAGAUUAUAACAAAAAUGAAAUUAAAUACAUAAUAAACUGCAAGUAGUCUUUUAAACAAACAGUUAAUGCACAAAUAACUCUAAAUAGCAGCCUCCUCCCCAGCAUGAGGGGCUGUUAACCGGCCCUGCUGCAAAUCCAAAAUAAACUGAAGAACUUUGUUUGAAGAAACAUUCAGGUGCAUCAAAGUAAAAAAUAAUCAAUCCUGUUUGAAAAUCUUGCUGGAUCUGGCCAUCCAAAAGUUCAAAUAAGACGUAAGUAACCAUUUCAAUAAAACAGGAAAAGAGGAGACAGGAUGCAUUAGUAUAAUUCAGUGACUGUCAUGAAUUCGGUUUUUCAAGUCACGUCACAGCCAUGUUUCACUCAUUGCUCUACCCCUCCCGUCACAGAAACUCUUAUUAUCACUCAUGCUUCUCACCUGUGUCUCCAAGUAUAUAAGCUUCUCUCCUCCACUAGUCCAGCGCCUGAUUAUUGAACGGUUCGCCAAGUAAAUGUCUAGCAUUCCAAAGCCACGUCUCGUCUUCCUGGUCACGGUCCCUUUUCUGGUUUUUGGUCUCACGUCUUCUGCCUUGUCCCUGAAUGGAACUUCUUCUGAUUCUGACUUCCUGGUUUUGACCCCCAACUGCUCCCACGGAUUUUUGCCUCCAGCCCGAGUCCUUGUCGGAUACCUCCAGUCAUCUGUCGCCCGGCUCUCGACCACUGCUUCGGCUCAUCGACAAAGAGUUAAGUCCGCCCCUCUUAACACCAGUCUGCCUUCUGCCUUCCUGUGUAUGACCCCGUUCAGUCCUCAGAAUUCGUCCAUGCUCCAGCGCUUCGCUUCGUUUCAACAACACGGAAAUCUCCGCAAGACGUUCCCACGUCUCCCUCGUCUGGUUACGUCAUUCAAGGGAUUCCCCCGGAAGUCCCGCUCUCUAAAAAGAGCUCCAGAUUCCCGUGGCGCUUGGUUCCAAAUCCAGCUGUACAUUUUUUAAUAAAAUUGUUAAAGCUU